UUCGCCUUUAUGGCGUAAGGUGCUUUGAGCAAAUGCCCAAAGCUUAAUAGGGAAGAGAGCCAUGCGACGCUGAUAUCGAUUUUUAUUUGAAGCGUUGCAAGGACUCCACGGUGCCGCCGCUGUCGGCAAGAACGAAAGCGAAAAAACCACUGUUCUGACAUUGUCGGAAUGGGAAGGAUCGCGAGUAGGUGAAGUGCUUGCCAGUCAGAAGACCUACCUUGAUACAUCAAAACAU
rnacentral:ncRNA from 2 species